GUUAAUACCCGCAUAUAUCUGUGGAUUAAAGGCGGCUUUAGGCUGUCGCAGGAUGGAUGAGCCUGCGUUGGAUUAGCUAGUUGGUGAGGUAAUGGCCUACCAAGGCUACGAUCCAUAGCUGAUUUGAGAGAAUGAUCAGCCACAUUCGGGACCUGAGACACGGCCCAAACUCCUACGGGAGGCAGCAGUGAGGAAUAUUGGACAAUGGGGGAAACCCUGAUCCAGCAAUGCCCAUGUGUGUGAAGAAGGCCUUAGGGGUUGUAAAAGCACUUUAGUUGGGGAAGAAAGCUUUAAGGGUUAAUAACCUUGAGGAAGGACGUUACCCAAAGAAUAAGCACCGGCUAACUCCGUGCC
rnacentral:rRNA from 1 species